CAAAGAGAGCUCAAUCAACUGAAAAAUGGCGGUUCAGAAUCCAACUUCAAAUGGAAUUCAGCCUUCCACAUCGCAUUCAAUCCCUUCUGCAACUGACCAUCAGUUCUUUGUGUGGAGAGAGUUCGUAUGGGGAGCUAUUGCUGGAGCUUUUGGGGAAGGAAUGAUGCAUCCCGUUGAUACCAUCAAGACAAGAAUUCAGAGUCAAGCAAUUCUUAGCGGAAGCCAGAGCCAAAAGAGCAUACUGCAGAUGGUCCGGACAGUCUGGGCUGCUGAUAGAGUAAGAGGCUUUUAUAGAGGUAUAACUCCUGGAGUUACUGGGUCUCUUGCAACUGGAGCAACAUAUUUUGGUUUUAUAGAGUCUAGCAAAAAGUGGAUCGAAGAAUCACAUCCUAGCCUUGGAGGCCACUGGGCACAUUUCAUUGCUGGAGCUGUUGGAGAUACGCUUGGUUCUUUUGUAUAUGUUCCAUGUGAAGUAAUGAAGCAACGAAUGCAGGUGCAAGGCACAAGAACAUCUUGGACUAAUGCCAUUGUGAAAGACAAUAUCUGUGUGAAAUCUGGUGAGCAGAUGUAUGGCUAUUACACAGGAAUGUUUCAGGCUGGCAGUUCAAUAUUGAAGGAGCAGGGGCCAAGAUGUUCUUGUGCCUUGCACCUGCAUGUCUACACUUGCAAGGGAUGUUCCAUUUGCUGGCCUAAUGGUUAUGUUUUAUGAAGCCCUGAAAGAUCUGACAGAGUAUGGGAAGCAAAAAUGGAUGCCCAGUUUAGAUGACUUCAUUAAUAGUUCUAUGGAGGGACUGGUCCUGGGAGGAUUGGCUGGUGGUUUCAGCGCAUAUCUGACCACUCCCUUGGAUGUCAUCAAAACAAGAUUGCAAGUUCAGGGAUCAACUGUAAGGUACAAAGGCUGGUUGGACGCAAUGCAAAGAAUAUGGAUGGUUGAAGGUGUCAAAGGAAUGUUCAGAGGAAGCAUCCCCAGGAUAACAUGGUAUAUCCCAGCCUCUGCUCUUACUUUCAUGGCUGUGGAAUUUCUCAGGGACCAAUUCAAUGAAAGAAUGGAUGGCGACAAGAAGCAUGAAGUUGCCAACUUGUCAAUAGAGAGAAAGGGACCAUCUCUGCGAGAGGUAGCGUAGAUUGGAGAUAGACCACCAUACCAUAUCAAAGAUUUACAGAUUCUGUGAAGCAACAAUUGUAACAAGAUGAAGCUACAUUUUUUAAAUUUUGAUUGGUUUAUAUUUGAGAUAUUAGUCUUCCAAUUCCUAUAAUUCUGUUUCUAUGAAUUGCUAUCCAUAAGAGUGUUAUGCCCUGCAUUCAGGGAUUUUUCCUAGGGAUUUUUCCUAUUGAAGAAUUAAGACUUCAUUUUUCA
rnacentral:misc_RNA from 1 species